UGAUGGUGAGUGGUCUUGUUUUCUCUUA
rnacentral:piRNA from 1 species